rnacentral:rRNA from 1 species
GGGACGGGGGCUAGCGUUGUUCGGAAUUAUUGGGCUUAAAGCGUACGUAGGGCGGGAUGGAAGGUGUCUUGUGAAAGCCCUCGGCUCAACCGAGGAACUGCUGGGCAAACCACCACUCUUGAGGUCAGCAGGGGUACCUGGAACUUUGGGUGGAGCGGUGAAAUGCGUAGAUAUCCAAGGGAACGCCGGUGGCGAAAGCGGGGUACUGGGCUGAUUCUGACGCUGAGGUACGAAAGCGUGGGUAGCAAACAGGAUUAGAUACCCUGGUAGUCCACGCCGUAAACGAUGCGCACUAGGUAUCAGCGCCUCUGACGGGGUUGGUGCCGUAGCAAAAGCGAUAAGUGCGCCGCCUGGGGAGUACGGCCGCAAGGCUA